CAGGAGCAGCACUUUGAACAUCGCUCACACACCACCACACUGGUGCUCUGCUGAUAAAGGUUCAACUGCAGUCUGACUUGUUCUGAGGACACGUCUGAAGAGCCCCACAGAGAAACAGCAUCUAACCUGGUGGAGGAGGUGACAGGACUGGAGGUGGAGAUCAGGAGGGCUUCUUCAGAGUCACGUCAUUUCCUCCCUCCAGAGAGAGAAGCACAGCUCAGUCAUGUUUCUGGUCAGUUGCUGAGAUGUGUUCAGCUCUGACAUCCUCAUCCAUGAUCUCUGUUGUCAUCCCAGUCUCUGUGUUGCUACUGGGGGCUGCAGGUCUCUCUGAGGGGAGUGAUGUCACCCAGACCCCAAGCAUCCUCUGGUCUAUCAAGGGGCAGCCUGCUGAGAUGGACUGCAGUCACACUAAGGGUGCUUUAUACUACCAGAUGUACUGGUACAGACAGCUACCAGGACAGGGGAUGAAGCAGGUUGUGUACAGUGUGCCCAGCAGCAAGCCUGACUUUGGAGAGUUUGGUGAAGUCAAAUUCUCUGCAAACAAGACUGUAGCAGAGAGAGGAUCUUUCACAGUGAAGAACUCUUCACCAGAAGACAACGGCAUGUACUUCUGUGCUGUUUAUGAACACAGUGAUACAGACAUCAUGUGCAGCUGCACAAAAACCCCCAAUUUCUCAUGAAAGGCCCUGAGUGACGUCAUGUGAGAUGACAGUGUGUUCUGCUGACACUCCCUCCAUCCACCUCCUCUGGGCAGAGUCACUGUGACACAGCAGGGGGUGGGUGUAGCUCAGGGGUAGACAGCCUCCUCCCUCUCAGUUAGUAAGCAGACUUUGUGAACAAUACUUCUCAAACCGUUACAAAGUGCUUUCCUGUACAUUUAUCAAUCCAACAAACCAACACAGAAUCAAAGCAAUACCCAUUAAAGACAACAGUGGUCCAGCAGUAACAGGUCACUGAUUAUCUGAGUGAAGCCUCACUGGUAGAGCUUCAGCAAACAGGAAC